CUGUCCUCCUGCAAACCUCCUUCUCUACACCCACUCUGUCCUCCUCCUCUCUUUCCCCCUCUGUCCUCCUUCAUACCUCCUCCUCUCCUCCCCUCUCUCCACCCUCUCCUUCCCCCUCUGUCCUCCUUCAUACCUCCUCCUCUCCUCCCCUCUCUCCACCCUCUCCUUCCCCCUCUGUCCUCCUUCAUACCUCCUCCUCUCCUCCCCACCCUCUCCUUCUCCCCCCUGUCCUCCUUCAUACCUCCUUCUCUACACCCACUCUGUCCACCUCCUCUCCUUCCCCCUCUCCUCCUUCAUACAUCCUCCUCUCCUCCCACUCUGUCCUCCUUCAUACCUCCUCUUCUCAUCUCCUCCCUCUCCCUACCCUCUCCUUCCCCCACUCUGUCCUCCUUCAUACCUCCUCCUCUCAUCUCCUCCCUCUCCCUACCCUCUCCUUCCCCCACUCUGUCCUCCUUCAUACCGCCUCCUUUCCUCCCCUCUCUCCACCCUCUCCUUUUCCCCACUGUCCUCCUUCAUACCUCCUCCUUUCCUCCCCUCUCUCCACCCUCUCCUUCCCCCACUCUGUCCUCCUUCAUACCUCCCCUCUAUCCACCCUCUCCUUCCCCCACUGUCCUCCUCCAUACCUCCUCCUCUCCUCCCUCUCCCUACCCUCUCCUUCCCCCACUCUGUCCUCCUUCAUACCUCCUCCUCUCCUCCCCUCUCUCCACCCUCUCCUUCCCCCACUCUGUCCUCCUUCAUACCUCCUCCUCUCCUCCCCUCUCUCAACCCUCUCCUUCUCCCCACUGUCCUCCUUCAUACCUCCUCCUCUCCUCCCCUCUCUCCACCCUCUCCUUCUCCCCACUGUCCUUCAUACCUCCUAUCCUCCCCUCUCUCCACCCUCUCCUUCUCCCCACUGUCCUCCUUCAUACCUCCUCCUCUCCUCCCCUCUCUCCACCCUCUCCUUCUCCCCACUGUCCUCCUUCAUACCUCCUCCUCUCCUCCCCUCUCUCCACCCUCUCCUUCUCCCCACUGUCCUCCUUCAUACCUCCUCCUAUCCUCCCCUCUCUCCACCCUCUCCUUCCCCCACUCUGUCCUCCUUCUCUCCUCCCCUCUCUCCACCCUCUCCUUCUCCCCCUGUCCUCCUUCAUACCUCCUCCUCUCCUCCCCUCUCUCCACCCUCUCCUUCUCCCCACUGUCCUCCUUCAUACCUCCUUCUCUCCUCCCCUCUCUCCACCCUCUCCUUCUCCCCACUGUCCUCCUUCAUACCUCCUUCUCUCCUCCCCUCUCUCCA
rnacentral:lncRNA from 1 species